rnacentral:rRNA from 1 species
UACAGAGGUCUCAAGCGUUGUUCGGAAUCACUGGGCGUAAAGGGCGCGUAGGCGGCGUUUUAAGUCGGGGGUGAAAGCCUGUGGCUCAACCACAGAAUGGCCUUCGAUACUGGGACGCUUGAGUAUGGUAGAGGUUGGUGGAACUGCGAGUGUAGAGGUGAAAUUCGUAGAUAUUCGCAAGAACACCGGUGGCGAAGGCGGCCAACUGGACCAUUACUGACGCUGAGGCGCGAAAGCGUGGGGAGCAAACAGG